ACUUGUAUCGUCUUGAGCGUAUUGUGGGUUUCCUGUGUUGCAUACCUUUCUAAUGGUAUCGUGUUGAUUGAUCGAAGUCCCUUUUCAUCUUGUGUUGCUUUUUGCGACGCAUGAUGAACCUCGAGGCGGUCUCUAUGUUCCACCACGUUGAUGCUAGCGUUUUAAUGUUGUGGCCCAUUGAGUGUUGCUUGGUUUCGUGGAUACAGAACAUGAUUUGGGCAUAGGGUUACUUGUGACUCUUGUUUUGUCCUUUAUCUGUGUUCUUUAUAACGACGGUUCAUGCGCGCCUAGGCUCGUACCUGCGCGAUGUUCUUUGUCGAAGAGGAAUGCUACCUGGUUGAUCCUGCCAGUAGUCAUAUGCUUGUCUCAAAGAUUAAGCCAUGCAUGUGUAAGU
rnacentral:misc_RNA from 1 species